UACGGAGGAGGCAAGCGUUAUCCGGAAUUAUUGGGCGUAAAGCGUCCGCAGGUGGCACCUCAAGUCUGCUGUCAAAGACCGGGGCUUAACCCCAGAAAGGCAGUGGAAACUGAAGUGCUAGAGUGCAGUAGGGGUAGAGGGAAUUCCCGGUGUAGCGGUGAAAUGCGUAGAGAUCGGGAAGAACAUCGGUGGCGAAAGCGCUCUGCUGGACUGCAACUGACGCUGAGGCGCGAAAGCGUGGGGAGCAAACAGG
rnacentral:rRNA from 1 species